rnacentral:misc_RNA from 1 species
AACCUUCAGCAACGGAUCACUUGGUUCCGGCAUCGAUGAAGAACGCAGCGAAAUGCGAUAAGUAAUGUGAAUUGCAGAAUUCCGUGAAUCAUCGAAUCUUUGAACGCAUAUUGCGCCCUCUGGUAUUCCGGAGGGCAUGCCUGUCCGAGCGUCAUUACCACCUUCAAGCGCAGCUUGGUUGUUGAGCCAAUUGUUCUUUUAAUGGACAGGCUUGAAAUGCAGUGGCGAUGUCGAGUCUUGAUGCCCGAGCGUAUGGAGCUCUGUCACACGCUUUAGUGGCUCAGCCGGCAUUCUGUCGAUUGUUUAUUUGGGCCUAAAAACCUAAGAUUUAACCUCGGAUCAGGUAAGGAUACCCGCUGAACUUAAGCAUAUCAAUAAGCGGAGGCU